rnacentral:rRNA from 1 species
GACGAACGCUGGCGGCGUGCUUAACACAUGCAAGUCACGGGGGCUUCGCAAGGAGCAACCGGCGAACGGGUGCGUAACACGUGAGCGACCUGCCAUACCUGUGGGGGAGUAGCCGGCCCAACGGCCGGGUAAUACCGCAUACGAUCUUUGGAGCGCAUGCUCUGGAGACGAAAGCCGUAAGGCGCAGGAUGAGGGGCUCGCGGCCUAUCAGCUAGUUGGCGGGGAAUGGCCCACCAAGGCGAUGACGGGUAGCUGGUCUGAGAGGAUGGCCAGCCACAUUGGGACUGAGAGACGGCCCAGACUCCUACGGGAGGCAGCAGUGGGGAAUCUUGCGCAAUGGCCGCAAGGCUGACGCAGCGACGCCGCGUGUGGGAGGACGCCCUCGGGU